AGAGUUUGAUCAUGGCUCAGAUUGAACGCUGGCGGCAGGCCUAACACAUGCAAGUCGAGCGGUAGCACAGAGAGCUUGCUCUCGGGUGACGAGCGGCGGACGGGUGAGUAAUGUCUGGGAAACUGCCUGAUGGAGGGGGAUAACUACUGGAAACGGUAGCUAAUACCGCAUAAUGUCGCAAGACCAAAGUGGGGGACCUUCGGGCCUCAUGCCAUCAGAUGUGCCCAGAUGGGAUUAGCUAGUAGGUGGGGUAACGGCUCACCUAGGCGACGAUCCCUAGCUGGUCUGAGAGGAUGACCAGCCACACUGGAACUGAGACACGGUCCAGACUCCUACGGGAGGCAGCAGUGGGGAAUAUUGCACAAUGGGCGCAAGCCUGAUGCAGCCAUGCCGCGUGUGUGAAGAAGGCCUUCGGGUUGUAAAGCACUUUCAGCGGGGAGGAAGGCGGUAAGGUUAAUAACCUUGCCGAUUGACGUUACCCGCAGAAGAAGCACCGGCUAACUCCGUGCCAGCAGCCGCGGUAAUACGGAGGGUGCAAGCGUUAAUCGGAAUUACUGGGCGUAAAGCGCACGCAGGCGGUCUGUCAAGUCGGAUGUGAAAUCCCCGGGCUCAACCUGGGAACUGCAUUCGAAACUGGCAGGCUAGAGUCUUGUAGAGGGGGGUAGAAUUCCAGGUGUAGCGGUGAAAUGCGUAGAGAUCUGGAGGAAUACCGGUGGCGAAGGCGGCCCCCUGGACAAAGACUGACGCUCAGGUGCGAAAGCGUGGGGAGCAAACAGGAUUAGAUACCCUGGUAGUCCACGCCGUAAACGAUGUCGAUUUGGAGGUUGUGCCCUUGAGGCGUGGCUUCCGGAGCUAACGCGUUAAAUCGACCGCCUGGGGAGUACGGCCGCAAGGUUAAAACUCAAAUGAAUUGACGGGGGCCCGCACAAGCGGUGGAGCAUGUGGUUUAAUUCGAUGCAACGCGAAGAACCUUACCUGGUCUUGACAUCCACAGAACUUNUUGGUGCCUUCGGGAACUGUGAGACAGGUGCUGCAUGGCUGUCGUCAGCUCGUGUUGUGAAAUGUUGGGUUAAGUCCCGCAACGAGCGCAACCCUUAUCCUUUGUUGCCAGCGGUUCGGCCGGGAACUCAAAGGAGACUGCCAGUGAUAAACUGGAGGAAGGUGGGGAUGACGUCAAGUCAUCAUGGCCCUUACGACCAGGGCUACACACGUGCUACAAUGGCAUAUACAAAGAGAAGCGACCUCGCGAGAGCAAGCGGACCUCAUAAAGUAUGUCGUAGUCCGGAUUGGAGUCUGCAACUCGACUCCAUGAAGUCGGAAUCGCUAGUAAUCGUAGAUCAGAAUGCUACGGUGAAUACGUUCCCGGGCCUUGUACACACCGCCCGUCACACCAUGGGAGUGGGUUGCAAAAGAAGUAGGUAGCUUAACCUUCGGGAGGGCGCUUACCACUUUGUGAUUCAUGACUGGGGUGAAGUCGUAACAAGGUAACCGUAGGGGAACCUGCGGUUGGAUCACCU
rnacentral:rRNA from 1 species